rnacentral:misc_RNA from 1 species
CCUCGACUACGCGGGCGAGGAGCUGUUCGAUCAGUGCGACACG